GUAAAAGGUAUGCAGAAAAGAUUCCAAGUAUAAUUUUUUUACGCGGCAACAACUGUUCCAUGCAUCGUUCUACGGUUAGCUAGGGAAGGUGCCGAUUAGGAUCACUAACUGAGUCGAACUGGCCAUGUGCGAACUACACUGUGAUCUCGGGAACAACAGGAUAUAUAUAAUAUGCUGAUUGCAGAGACGCAGACGAUACAAAAGUCUGUAUGUCCAAUUUAGACUUCCUAGCUUUUAAAGUUUUGUAAGGAGUUAAAACUCUGCACAAAUGCAGAUGUCAACUGCAGAAGGAGGGCAUGCCUGUUGCAAGCCUGGCGAUAGCAUAGAAAUCACUACCUCGAGUCCGCGAACGAAUGCAGUUCCUCGCCCGUACCGUCCGGGAUAACGAAAGCGGUAGGAAUGGAGGUCGUCUAACAAACAGUAAAAGGGAAAGGUAUGAGGAAGGGCUAGGCUGGUGGGCGAUCGCACGGAGCGUCAGUGAACACUGGCGGGACCGACCGGGACAGAGCAUGGGACAGGAGGUGCAGCUAGCACGGCGUGUCCCUUGAAAGCCCAGCACCUGUUCAUUCUAGUCUGAAAACGGUGACGCUAUCCUAACGCGUGGCAGCGGCAGUACCGUAGCAAGCUAACAUUUCCCGUGCGGAGGAGAAUCCAACUGCGGAAUGCCAAAUUAAAGUGUAAAACGCGACAAAUAAAGAUCAAGGAAAUAAGAACUGCUAAGUGCUGUUACUGGUAACCGAGUGAGUAUGUUUACUAUAAAUUUGGUGGGACGACCACCAAAUUCGGCUAUUGAUAUUGAAUAUUGAAUAGCCCAAAAUAUACUUUUUGAAAAUAUACGAUUACUUUAUGAGUUGCGGGUAUAACAUAAUUUAAAUGGAAAAUAACAUUUUCAUCAAUUUUCCAACGGUUGACCUUAUGCAUUUUUAAAUUUAUAAGUCAAAACAACCCCAAACUCGACUUAUAUCCUUAUACAAUUAAAUUGUAUAUAGUUUUAAAAGAUAAUUUCCUUUUACUCUGAGUUAUCGAUUUUUGACAUUUUUCGAAGAAAGAAAAACCGAAUAAGUUACAUUUUUUAGUAUUUACUUUACAUCAGUCACUAAUGGUGCAAUAAUUAUGAAUAAAACAUAAAUUUUGUUAGCGACAAAAAAAGAUCUCCUCAUUAUAAAAUUAAACGUUAAACUGAACUACGAAAACAAGUAUAUUACAACUUACCAGUGAUAGGUGCAGCUAUGGACUCAGAUACAUUUUUAGGAGACACUAUAGGAAUUCUAAAAAAAAGAACAAUAUUGAACAUGGUUAUUUAACAAUACAACAAGACAGAAUGCUAUAGUCGAGGUCCGCGACUUUUAGAUACUCGAACUUCAUCAAAUGAAAGCAGAAAAGAGAGUGGGGCGGCAACCCUAAAUUGAAUACUUUAAUUCGGCAAUACGACUCCUUUAAAGAACUAGAAAUUAUGUUCUGGGAGGAUUAUAUCAGACUGCCUUUAACAAGUUUGGGCAUAGAUGAUGAAGUUAAUGACCAAAAUAGCAAAUUAGCGCAGCUUUAGCUUCGAUGGUGUCCCUAGGUUCUGUAUUUUUAAUCUCUAUCUUUCCCGAUAUAUCCACGUUUAUACGGACCGACAACCGGAAGGAGGGGAACCACAACAUAUUUAAUUUGAAUGCAACUGGAAGACUGAAACUCUUCGUAACACCUUAAACGAAAUGUAAUAUGAAAAAAUUUGAUCUGCUUUCCUGAGUUUAAAAUUAAGAAUUUAUUUUGAAUAAGAAA